UAGGAUUAUUAUAUGGGGCUUUGGUUUAUUUUGUUGAAUAUACCUGAUUAUGAUUAUGAUUGUGCCGCUAUAAGAUCAUUGAUUGUAGAUUUUUAUUGUGUUGUAAUUUAGUGUUUUUUUCUGACGAAAUUGUAAUUGAGAUUAUUCACUAGAUGUUUGUUUAAUUGUCUAAAUGGGGUUUCAUGAUAUAUUUUUUUACUUCCUCUCCUUUGA
rnacentral:misc_RNA from 1 species